GAAGACACAGAGGUAAGAAAAGGGAAAUAUCAUUUUCUCAUUCAUCCCCUUGCUUGUUAUUUACAUGGAUAUAUAUAGCAUUCCUCUUAACAAAUCUGUGCUAUUCUGCUCAAGGAAUAUUACAUCAUAACAGAAUUUGUUAUGCACGAAUCAAGCAAGAUUUUCCUAAUUACUGUAUUGCCCAUACUGCCCUCUGCUUCAAACAAAAUCACGAAGGUAUGAUGGCCCUGCUAUCCUUCUCUUGGACCUUUCUUUUUACACCUCUGGUUUGCUGAUUGUUACCAUUGCCUUCUCUGUUCCAGCUUCCUUGUUGCCUAUUUCUGGUAUCCUAUCAUUUCCCGCCCUCAUCAAAAACACCUUGUCCUCAAGGUGUUGGGCGUUCAAACUACAGCUUCCAAAAGCAAUACCGGGGUCCCAAGGUUCAUUCCGACGAACCUGCAAUUCCACAAAGUAUCCGUGAGGAAGGAACAUCACGCGAAAAAGAGUUGGAGCAGUCCAACAAGGUAAGCUCAGAGAGAUCGAUAGUGGAGGCUGGAAGAAGGUGUGGGGACUUCUCCCAACAACAAGGAGGACCACUCGAAUGCCGGAGAGAAGGCCGGCAAGGCGCAAAAUUCCCGGUGUGAAAUCUCCCGAUAAGGAUUUCAGACCAAUUUGGGCCGGGUCCGGUUUGGGUGUGGGGUGUGCGGCCGGGUCGUGUGUGGGUUUUGGCCUUGGGUCAGGGGUGGGUUUUGGAUCUGGGUCAGGUAUGGGUUUUGGGUCAAGUCCUGUGGAUCCGGGUGUGGGUAGUUGCGGGUCAGGGUGCUUUAUAUUAGGACCCAAUGGGUCUGUGGGUUCCUCAUUCACUACGAUGAAGGGAAGAACCCUAGAGACCUCGCGACGGCCGCCAUGGAGCUUCUCCUCGCCUGUGAGGCACAGCCCGUGCUCAUGGCGCGAGGCUAACUCCUCCGGGGUGAGGCAGCUAAUGGUCGGGGCCUGUGGGGGUCGCGGCGGGGAUGGCAGCAAAGGGGGCAAGGUUGCGAUGUGAGGAGGAACCAAAGGGGCGGAUGGUGGAGCUACCAGAGGUGGGGUUCGCGGCCGCGAAGACGUUUGCUGCUCCAGGAGCUUCGCGAGGCCGGCGGCCUGGUCCACAGUCGUAGGCUGAUGGGCCUGAACUGUACGGCGGAUCUCCGGUUGCAAACCUGAGAUGAAGCAAGGCAACAGGAAGGUGCCCGGCAAGCCGAUAAUUCUACUGGCUAAGGCUUCAAACUCCAGUAGGUAUGUGAGCACUGACCCCGUCUGAGUGAGUUUGAACAGGGCACCGACAGGGUCCUCAAAUGGAGAUGGUGCGAACCAGGGUGUUGCAGGAGCAAAAGUGGCUUGAUGAGGAACCGGUGGGGAUUUGGAUGUGGGGGGGAAAGGCACAGGAGCAUGGCGGGUGAAAAAUGGGUUCAGGUGGCGGUUCAUGGAGUGCAUGGCGUCGUCCAGACGAGCAAGGGCCUCGUCGAGGUUGCGGGAGGCCAUGAGGAACAAUGAUGAAAGCACCAAUUGUUAGGGUAUGAACCCUAAAGCUGGCUUCGAGGGCAGCAAACCUCCAGCAAGAAGAAGAAGACACAGAGGUAAGAAAAGGGAAAUAUCAUUUUCUCAUUCAUCCCCUUGCUUGUUAUUUACAUGGAUAUAUAUAGCAUUCCUCUUAACAAAUCUGUGCUAUUCUGCUCAAGGAAUAUUACAUCAUAACAGAAUUUGUUUUGCACGAAUCAAGCAAGAUUUUCCUAAUUACUGUAUUGCCCAUACUGCCCUCUGCUUCAAACAAAAUCACGAAGGUAUGAUGGCCCUGCUAUCCUUCUCUUGGACCUUUCUUUUUACACCUCUGGUUUGCUGAUUGUUACCAUUGCCUUCUCUGUUCCAGCUUCCUUGUU
rnacentral:lncRNA from 1 species